GGAAUCUUCCACAAUGGGCGAAAGCCUGAUGGAGCAAUGCCGCGUGAGUGAUGAAGGUUUUCGGAUCGUAAAGCUCUGUUGCCAGGGAAGAACGUCCGGGUGAGUAACUGCACCCGGAGUGACGGUACCUGAGAAGAAAGCCCCGGCUAACUACGUGCCAGCAGCCGCGGUAAUACGUAGGGGGCAAGCGUUGUCCGGAAUUAUUGGGCGUAAAGCGCGUGCAGGCGGCGGAUUAAGUCGGAUGUUUAAGAUCGGGGCUCAACCCCGAUUCGCAUCCGAAACUGGCCCGCUUGAGUGUAGGAGAGGAAAGUGGAAUUCCACGUGUAGCGGUGAAAUGCGUAGAGAUGUGGAGGAACACCAGUGGCGAAGGCGACUUUCUGGCCUAUAACUGACGCUGAGGCGCGAAAGCGUGGGGAGCAAACAGGAUUAGAUACCCCUG
rnacentral:rRNA from 1 species